GGAGAGGUGGCUGAGUGGUCGAAAGCGAGCGACUCGAAAUCGUUUGACAAGCAAUUGUCCGUGGGUUCGAAUCCCACCCUCUCCG
rnacentral:tRNA from 1 species